CAACCCUGCUAUAUGGUGAUGAAUUUUCAUGGGGUGGAAAACAACUCUAUGCUAUAUGCUGAGAGGACAGCAAAGAACGAAGCCCCAGACGGAACAGGGUCUCCUGAGGGAUGGACAGCGUUGGUGAAGGAGGAGGCAGUGAGACAAGGAGUUCGGUGUCCAAGUCCAAGUCCAAGUCUAACUUUAUUUUGUAGUGUCUGGAUCUGUUUGAUUAAAGGGUUCCUGAGAUUUCAGCUGCCUAUCUGCAUGAUCUGAGAUGCCGAUGCUGAUAAAAGGGCAACUUUCAACCAUAGCUCACAGUUUUAAAUUCUUAUUUUCAUCAAAAGGGUAUUUCCCACUGAUUGGCUAUUAAAUAAAGAUUCAAAAUUAGAAUGUACAAUUUUUGUAUCAAUAAAACAUUGCUUUUGUCUGCUUUAUAUGUUAGGAUGCUGCCCAUGUACCACCUAUGAUUCCACAGACGACAUUGCAAACAUCACUGCCUAGAGUUGUACACAACUGUAUGUGGCAGCUCUGGUUCUGCCUAAGAUUUCAUUUAGGAGAAGUGUGGAGGGGGAGAUGUCUUAUUUAGGGUAAAACACAUUUGAGCCCCCCACUAAGUGAGACACAGAUAGUUACUCUAUACAAGCUGCUUGAUGCUAAUGAAGGUGGCUGAAUCCCAAUUCUCCCUCUGAGAGCUGACAG
rnacentral:lncRNA from 1 species